rnacentral:misc_RNA from 1 species
UACAGAGGCCCCAAGCGUUACCCGGAAUCACUGGGCGUAAAGGAUGCGUAGGUGGUUGUGUUAGUCGUUUGUGAAAUCCUUCGGCUCAACCGAAGGAAUGCCAGGCGAAACGGCACAACUAGAGGACGUAAGAGGUAUGCGGAACUCACGGUGUAGGGGUAAAAUCCGUUGAUAUCGUGGGGAACACCAUAGGCGAAGGCGGCAUACUGGGACGUUCCUGACACUGAGGCAUGAAAGCGUAGGUAGCGAACGGG